UGUUCUCAACUAGCCUACCUGGUUAAAUAAAGGUGAAACAGUAUCUGUGAUUGGUGAAGGAUUUGUCUCAGAGGGCAGAAUUUGCUAUAUUUUUGGGGGAACGACAGAGUAGAUAGCAGUCAAAUGCAUUCACUAUCAUUUCAAGACAGGAAACAUGGGUAAGUAUUUGUAAAGUAGGGGUCUUGAAAAGGUGGUCUGUGUGUGUGGACUGUGGAGAUCUGGGGAGGCUCAGGAGUACUCCAAGUGAAAACAGAACACUGUUUGAGAGAGGUCGGGACUGCUGCAUGUUUAGCUAAAGAGCAGCUCUGGUCUGGAUCGGAGAGUUCUGAACCGACCUUGGUAGAAUCAGCCUUCAGCUCGUAUCUUUUAACAUGACUUCAAUUCAUGACUUAAGAAAUGGAAUAAUUUAUUGAAUCAACAUUUUUCAAAGUGGCUAUCUGAGCCCACCAAUGGGAGAGUUCUUCACUCUCCCAUUGAGAUGGUGAGUCACUGUACGUUAAACAAUGCUAAUGAGAAGAUCUAUUCAUGUCGAUAUGGUGCUUCUCAUACGAGCAUUUAGUCUGCGUGAGGCAGUCAAAGGCUGUCUGUCAUUGAAUAGUCGAUAGUCAGUCAGAGAGAGUGGGUGCUUUGACAGAUUGACAGGCCUUCACCAGCAUACUGAUUUCCCCAGCCCCCUCCAGUUCCCUCCAUGUUCUCAUUGACGUAUUGUGGCGUCCCACUGGUCCUCUCGGCUGGCCCUGACUAAUCCUUGCCCUACGCCCCUCCCCCCUAUAUGGCCGACGCCAUCCACCAUCCGCCAGGCAGCUGUGAAUUGGCCGGGUCCCCACUGGCCACUCAUCGAUCCUCCUCUACUGCCUCCAAUGGGCCGACACAUGCCAGCCACCAGCAGCACACUGUGGGCCAGGAGCCAAUGCAGGAAGGGGACAUCCUGAGAGAAUGCGAUAGAGAGAGAGAGGGAGGGAGACCACCCAUCCGCCCAAGCUCGUCGGGAAUUGGGAAACCACACGUUACAUACAUAUGCCCCUCUCUUUUCACAGUUUACACGUGUUUUGAUUUCCAUGUUGCCACAAAGCCCCAGCGUGACCUUUACAUCUGUCGAACGAGGACAAUCAGUUUGCUCAUUACUCAAUCUCCUACAGCCCUCUGAAAAGUGCUUUAAAUGCUAUUGUCUUAGCGAUACGGGCGGACUCGAUAGCUGUUUUGGAACCAGCUACUGUCUCUCACUGUCACUUUAUACAUAUAGUGUCAUUCAAAGGAAAGGAGCUCCCACACACUGCACUUUCAAAGUAUCAUGUUUAUUUUGAUUCUGUACCAUACAGCUGUAGGAUCUUAAUUUGAUCACCAUGUUGCAGUUGAACUUUUAUGCAAAUGCAGGAAAUGUUCACUUUUAAAAAGCCUUUCCCUUAUGAAAGAUGUAUCAACCCCUACAACAAUUUCCAUUAACUCCCUAGAGAUGAUUGAUGCACCGGUGUGGCAAUAUAAGUAACAUAAUAAAAAAAUCCCCAUCAAAAUCCUUCAGUUUGAGCUAAAGAUCAUUUUUUUGCAUUGGCUGCGUCUCAAUCCACCACAUCCACAAGUUGCACUUCUGCAUCUGCAGUGAAAUGUGGCAGAGCCAGAGCUGUGUUUAUCAGACCAUGAGUCAUGUUUGGAAAAGUGGAGUAGGGAGUGCGAGAAGUUUGUCAAGGCAAAGAAAAGAAACAAGGGCCUCAGUGGAGAUGCCGGUGGAAAGGCUACUUCAGAAAUGUUGCUGGUGGCUUGUUCAGCACGUGAAGCAUGGGAGAACUGAAAGCAACAUGCCGUCUUCACCAAAGGAUGAGGCACAAACGUCAGUGAAUGGAGACAGCACCUGUUUUUUGUUCUCUGCGCCCCAGCACUGCCUGUUCACCGGCCCAGUAGUAGCAAGGGUGUGAGAAGAAGGGGCCUGGCACCUAGAGCUGAUUACAUGGAUGAACUCUCACCAAAAACUCUGGGAGGAAUUUGAUCACCAGCUGUAUGAGUUUGUGCAUGACUUCAAGAAGAGGACAUGGACCACAGUGAAAUGAACACGUUCUGUUGUUUUUCAGACAUCUCAGCAGUCGAACAUUAGACCCUUUUGUUGUUUACAUGUCUGUUCAUAGCAGACACUGUUGUACCGAAAUAUUUAUAACACUGACACUUUAUUCCAUAGACACUUGUUUACAUGUCUGUUCUCAGCAGACACAUUUGUACUGUGGUUUACUUUCAGAAGAAAGAAUAAAGGUUUAUUUUUGUGUGCUGAAAAAGCUCCAUUGGCAUUUCUUCAUAUAUAAAUGUGUUUCAAUGCAUUAUAUUUGAACAUCAAGUGCUGACAACACUGAGAAGAGCUGUGUGCCACAGUCUCUCUAAAUGACUGCACACAUCAGUUUCAUUUUAUUAACAAGAUUAAAACUAUACAUUUUGUACAAAGUACUUUGGUUCACAUUACACACAAAGAACUGAGUCUGUGUGUCCAUCAAGAGGUG